CCUAAGCAAGUGCUGUACCACUGAGCUCCAGCCCCAGCCCCUAACAGUCACUUUGAAAUCCACUUUGCAGAAAGACUGCAGCAGGUAGAAUGGAGACCAGGUGCCAGCGGGGAAUAAAGGCUUCCCACCUGCACACCCCGUCUCAGGUCGAGGAGAGCCGCGUUCUGCAGACACAGCAUGGCGAGGUUACACAGCAGUCCGGGCUGUGGGUCCAGAGGGCUGUGCUGAUGCGCAGGGCCCAGAGCAGUGACGUAAAGGGACACUGAGUCACAGGACGCCUCCCAAGCGUGUUCACCUACUGCCGGGUUAGAGGAAGGAAGAGGCUGAUUAUAGGUCCCCACAUUCUGAGGUCCUGUGGCACAGAGAGAGCUGCCUCCUGACUGCACCCGGGUGAAAAGGAUCCGCUUCCCCGCGAGGGCACCCUCCUCACCUUCUGCACACCUUCCACGCAACUGGGCAAAGGAAGGGACCCCGCAGCGCCCCCUGUAGGCAGCCCGCGUUCUUGCCCCUUGCCUGGGCAGUCACAGCAGUGCCACCCGCUGUGCCAUUCAUCUGGCCUGACCCCUGCUGCAGCCCCUGCUUUGAGAGCCCCUGGCUGGCUGCAUUCACUGCAUUCGGUGACUUGACACCUUCGGCUGUGGGCAGGGCAGAAGCCCGAGGGAAGGGAAGGCUCCUGAAGACUUCAGGGCUUCGUUCCAGGCCUCCAUCUCCAUGGUGCCCGGUUGCCAGUUGGGGUUGACAUCCACUUGUUUGUUUGUUUUGGUACCGGGGAUCGAAUUCUGGACUUUGAGCAUGCGCGGCAGGCAGCGGAACCACUGAGCUAAAUCGCCAGCCCUACAUCGUCUUUUUAACCAGUUUGCGGGCAGUGUCUCUGAUGCAGUGAAAAGAGAAAGACAAAGCUGCAAUGGACAGAAGACCUUGGGAAGCUGCAUCUAAUCGACACUAUGUUGCAUUCAUCAAACUGUGCCUCUGACAGCUGAAUCAAGGUUUCCUGUUUAAGCCAUUGUAACUUCCCUACCUGUGGACCAUCCUUCCUCCUGUGACAGAUUUUUACAGUUCUUCUAAAGCAUUUGGGACCCAUUUCAAAGAAACCUGCAGCUUUCCUGACUCUCCUCACCCUCUCUCCUGCUAAGGACUCUGUUUUAAAAAUCUUCUCUGCCAGGUGUGGUGCCUGUACUCCCAGCACUCUUGAGUCUGAGGC